AGCAGCCGCGGUAAUUCCAGCUCCAAUAGCGUAUAUUAAAGUUGUUGCAGUUAAAAAGCUCGUAGUUGAAUUUCGGGGUCAAUACGUCGGUCGUGCCUCCGGUACGUACUGACGUCGUUGAUUCCUCCUUUCUGAUGAGCCACGAUGUCAUUAAUUUGGUGUUGUGGGGAGUCAGGACUGUUAUUUUGAAAAAAUUAGAGUGUUUAAAGCAGGCAAACGCUUGAAUACAUUAGCAUGGAAUAAUGAAAUAGGACGUUCGAACCUAUUUUGUUGGUUUCUAGGAUCAACGUAAUGAUUAAUAGGGAUAGUUGGGGGCAUUAGUAUUCAAUUGUCAGAGGUGAAAUUCUUGGAUUUAUUGAAGACUAACUACUGCGAAAGCAUUUGCCAAGGAUGUUUUCAUUAAUCAAGAACGAAAGUUAGGGGAUCGAAGACGAUCAGAUACCGUCGUAGUCUUAACCAUAAACUAUGCCGACUAGGGAUCGGAUGAAGUUAAUUUUUAAUGACUCAUUCGGCGCCUUAC
rnacentral:rRNA from 1 species